GCCGGGCGUUGUGGCGGGUGCCUGUAGUCCCAGCUACUUGGGAGGCUGAGGCAGGAGACUCACUUGAGCCCAGGAGUUGGAGGUUGCUGUGAGCUGUGAUGCCAUGGCACUCUACCCAGGGGGAUAGCUUGAGGCUCUGUCUCCAAAAAAAAAAAAAAAAAAAGAAGUUACAUACAUCUUUUGUUUUUUUUUUUAGAGACAGAGUUUCACUUUGUGGCCCUGGGUAGAGUGCUGCAGUGUCAUAGCUCACAGCAAGCUCCAACUCCUGGGCUUAAGACGAUUCUCUUGCCUCAG
rnacentral:SRP_RNA from 1 species